rnacentral:rRNA from 1 species
CCCUUAGAUGUUCUGGGCCGCACGCGCGCUACACUGAUGAACGCAAAGAGACCACCUGUACCGAAAGGCAUGGGUAAACUUGUGAAAGUUCAUCGUGAUGGGGAUAGAUUAUUGCAAUUAUUAAUCUUCAACGAGGAAUUCCUAGUAAGCGCGAGUCAUCAGCUCGCGUUGAUUACGUCCCUGCCCUUUGUACACACCGCCCGUCGCUCCUACCGAUUGAAUGGUCCGGUGAAAUCUUCGGAUUGCUGGAUAGGACUUCAUUGACCUAUCUGCGAGAAGUUGCUUGAACCUUAUCAUUUAGAGGAAGGAGAANUCGUANCA